rnacentral:ncRNA from 1 species
GGGAGCCGUAUGAAGCGCGAGCUUCACGUACGGUUCUGCGAGAGGCUCGGGGCGAAACUCCCCGGGUCUACUUACC